rnacentral:lncRNA from 1 species
CUUGUGCCACGGUGGCCCAAAUGUCAGUCAACCAGACAUGUCUUCUGAGAGGUAAGUUUUUGAAAAAUACUAGACUUUUCUCAAAUGUAUUUCUUUACAGGAAUAAAAAGAAAGCUAAUUUUGCAUGAGCAUGCAGGAAGUCUGCAGACAGACAUUCUACAUAGUCCCUUGGGGACUCAGUAGAAGUGGAAUCAAGACCAACCCAAGCCCAACAAGGCAGCUCCGCUGGUUAAUGCCUCCCAGAUCUGUCAUCUGUGAUAAAGAGCCUCGCUGUAGCUGAGGAGCUGGCCAAGAACCUUUCCCAGUUAGCCAAGUUCGUGAAGAAGUCACAUGUGGUGAAUAUAUUAUCAUCAGAAUGCGGAGCAAUGAAAUGUAAACAGAUAGGAAUCGUCACUAAAGCUCCAACUGCAGCCUCCGGGUGCCAUAGCUUUUGCACCAUCCAUUUGCACCAUCUCUGCAUUGCUCUCAAUCACUGCCACGAGUCUGGUGAUGCGCUAAGCUCGGGGCAGGAUCUCAAGGGCUUUGAGGAUGUCUGCAUCAUCUGUAUUGACCUGCUCCCCAGAUUAAUACCGAAGCACUGCAAUUUCUUGAGGAUUAUCCACCUAGGAGGAAAUGAUACGCUGGCCCAUCCAUAGUAGUCAAGAAACAGUCUGAGAUCCAAAAAGUGGCUUAAAAGAGGGAAAAGUUAAUCAAAAUGUCUGUGAAGCUCUGGCUUCAGUCUCUCCAGCGAGGCUUUCUGAAGCACAGCUCUGAUAGAACUAAACCCAAUGAGACACCGCCUACAAGAGGAAUCCAGCGUGUGAACGAAGACUAAAAAGCAAAACAGCAGCGUCUGGAGUGGACAGCUUCUCUCACUCAGAGAACUGUAGCCUCAAAUUCCUGGCAGAGGUUUCUUGGAAGAGAAGAAUGAGAUUGGAUCUGAGAAAAUGUGGCUGGUAAUGAACUCUACGAAGGGAUUUUUAUACUCUCUCUUUGGCAGUCCAUCCUGUGAAAUAAUAAUGAGGUUGGAGGAUGGCUGCUAACCAUCCCUUGCUUUUCCGUGCCAGGGAACCACCAUCUCAGAUGGUAGAAACCACUCAGAAGGAUCAACUGCUGCAGACGGGAAGAGGAGCAACCUCGUGAAUAAUUUCGUGACAGGAUAUUGCAGGAGGGACUUUGUCCAAAUGUGUGCAGGGUAGUUGGCUACAGCAACAAGGAUGACGAACACAGAUGAAUUGAUCAGGAUGUAACCAUUCAAAGUUGAGAGGAUUAGAGGACUUCUCCGAGGCGGCUCCAAUGGAUGCCAGCAGAGUUAAAGUGUCCAAUGGAGAGAAGAGAAGGCUUGGGAAAUCCAGAGUCCAUUCAUUCAUCGCCCUCCUCCUAGAACAACAAAAGCGAGCCCCAGUACUCAUCAGCAUGGACUCUGUGUGUAGUCAUCUCCCUUAGUUUCAGAGGUUCCUGCCUACAGCAAAACUUUAGAGGCUUAGAGUUUAACGGUCAUAGCUUAUUCACCUCCAACUGUGUCCUAGUUCAAGAGAAACACUUCACAUAUCUGUAGGGAGAAGAUAAUGAACCAAGGAUACAAGUUAAGCCUUAGCUAAGACCUGUUACUCAGGAAAAAGAGCUAAAACAAGCUGCUUAGAUCAGCACCAAUGUUAGGUAGAGAGAAAAAGAAACGCUGCAUAGAAAUCUUAAGGUUCACAUGUGCUCCAGGCUGGGUCAACAACUUCUAAUUUCCUUUGCCAACCAACCAUGUCUUUGACAGAAAUGAUCCUUCUACAUAGACCACAGAGGGAUCCAAUGGAGGUUUCUCUUCCUGAAUUUGGGGAUUCAGAAUCUGGACAAAUUCCUUUCCAUCAAAGUCCAGUACAAAAGUAGUACCAUGGCAGUCCCUGCAGGGACUUGCAUCACUUUCCCUAGAGAUAUCAAGAGAAUUUUUAGUGAUAAGAAUAUGGCACAAAAUGAGAAAUCCCAUUACUCUUAAGAGAAUCUCUUCCUUCUCAAAGGCACCUGAUUAAUACAUAUAGUACUAUCAGUAAGGCUGAGCAAAAGGAUACUGAUGUUCUGAGUGAUCUUAAAUCAUGUAAUAAUAACUUUAUUCGUAGUAUAGAACGGAAUAUUCCCUAUUAGUAAUCAGUUCCUUUGCCAGAUCCUCAUAGUAUCUUAGUCACUGUUUUAUUGUUAUGAAGAGAAACUUUGACCACAGCACCUCUUAGAAAAAAGGAAGCAUUUAAUCGGGACUUCCUUAUGGUUUCACAGUUUUACAUAAUUGUCAACAUGGCAGAGAACAUGGGGGCACGCAAACAGACAUGGUGCUGGAGAAGUAGCGGAGAAUAUACAGCAACAUAUAGAUACAAAAUAUAGAUACAUAUAGAUACAGAAUAUAGAUACAUAUAGCUACAUAUAGAUCUGCAGGCAGCAGGAAGAGACUGGGACAAGGCCAUACCUUCUAAGGCUUCUCAAGGAGUGUCACUUCCUGAUGACCAAGCAUUCAAGUGUAUGAGCUUAUGGGAGCCAUUCUUAUUCAAGCCACCACACAUAGCAAAGCUGAUAAUGUCAUUUUCUGAAUUAACCAGGCCAAGGCACACUUCUUAGCAACAUGGUUACCUGGUAACCAGAGAUUUUUCUCAUCCCAUGAGAGAUUUCAUUCAAGAACUGAUCUUCUAACAGUUUUGUCUCUCUUAAGAAUGCUACAGACAGGGUGGGGUGAGGCACAGUGCUGAAGCCCCUCAAGUUUCCCAGAGGGAUGAGUCCAUGAAAGACGAAAAUCAUGUGGUCACACUGAGCAUAGACUUCACAAGCAUCAUGCUAGGAUUCCAUUUUCUUUCUCAACACAAUGAUAAAUUCUUCUUCCAAUAAGCAGAAAAUCAUCCAAUGGGAAAAAAAAAUAAAACCAACUAACUUGCAGUCCUUUGGAACAGUUUCAUAGCUUACAGGAUGGCUUCAUAACCCUGGGGACACUCGUUUUGACAUGAAAACUUCCUUCAGAACAGGAAUUCUGAUCCAACAUGUGCUCAGACAUCAUUUCAGUCACUUGCAAAUGAACAAGAAAGCUCAUGUAAAUGAGGAGGCUCAACUCCCAGGCCUGGUGAGUGGGUAAGACAUUCCUCUGCUGGGUUUUGAAGGCUGUCUGAAACCAUCGGCUGACAUCCUUCUCUGUGUGCAUGUAUGCACUAUCUACGGGAAAUUCAGCUCCAACCGGUUGUCUCUACAGCUCCCUUAAUCUUCUCCUCCCUCCUCCUGGCAUUGGCAUGUGUCCCAGGACUGCAGCGAGGAGUGCUUACCAACAAAGGUGCUGGCAUCUGCAUUUGUUUCACAGCCACAAACCUAAUGGUUCCAUGAUUUUGGCGAGCAAAACUGUCAAAAUGCCUGAGCACAAGAGAUCACAAGAUGAGCCAAGGCAUAGUGUGCAUGCCUUCCUUCCCAGCACUCGGAAGGCAGAGGCAAGGGGAUCUCUGUGGGUUCAAGGCCAGCCUGAAUCACAAGGUGUACUGGGGAUUCUUUUUUAUUGUUUUCCUUUUGCUAUCUGGAAUAGUUUGAGAUUGUAUUUGAUCAGUGCAUUAAACAAC